GAGACGAAAAUUAGAAAUCGGGAGAGAGAGAAAUGAACGGCAGAGACGAAGAAAAGGGUUUGGUAUGGAAGCUACCGAUAGUUAAGUCGAAGCAAUUUGGGAAGAUUGGACCUGCUUUUGGACUUGGCAUAGGCUGUGGUUUUGGUCUCGGAAUCGGCCUUAUCGGAGGCACUGGCUUUGGUCCGGGGCUUCCUGGGUUGGAACUGGGUUUUGGGUUCGGUGCUGGGUGUGGAAUUGGUCUUGGUUUUGGCUAUGCUGUUGGAAGAGGAAUUGCUUAUGACGACAACCGUAAAUACUCUAAUGUUGGAAAGCUCUUCAACAGCCAUGCCAAUUUCCCCAAUCAACUUGACCUAAUGUUGACCUUGUCAUCAAGUGGAAUGUUUCUGUUGGCUAUACAAGUUGAUCACUGGGGAAAAUUUCCUUUUAAUUCUGCAUAGAAAGCAGAACGUGUUCAUCGUGAUGCGCCUGCAAUAUUUUCAGUGAGGCAGAAGUUGCGCAAUUCCAAACAAAAGAAGGCUGAGAAGAGGGACACAAACAAACUGGGAUGAGGUAGGGGAACUCAUCGAUGAGCUUGUUGUGAACACCAAAAAGCUAAUCAAAGCAACUACACAAGAGUUGGACAAGUGGAGAAGGUCCUAAUUUGUGCCGUUCCCUUUUGUACACAGCUCACUCCUUGUAAUGUACAUGCUAAUUCUUAAGUAGCUUAGCUCCUUGGAGCGAA